rnacentral:rRNA from 1 species
AACGAACGCUGGCGGCAGGCCUAACACAUGCAAGUCGAACGAAGUCUUCGGACUUAGUGGCGCACGGGUGAGUAACACGUGGGAAUAUACCUUACGCUGGGGGAUAACAUCGGGAAACUGAUGCUAAUACCGCAUACGCUCUUCGGGGGAAAGAUUUAUCGUCGAAGGAUUAGCCGGCGUCCGAUUAGCCUGGUGGUGAGGUAAUGGCUCAACACGGCUCAGAUCGUUAGCUGGUCUGAGAGGAUGGCCAGCGACACUGGGACUGGGACACGGCCCAGACUCCUACGGGAGGGGGGAGUGGGGAAUAUUGGACAAUGGGCGCAAGCAUGAUCCAGCCAUGCCGCGAGAGUGAUGAAGGCCGGAGGGUUGUAAAGCUCUUUCACCCACGACGAUGAUGACGGUAGUGGGAGAAGAAGCCCCGGCUAACUUCGUG